rnacentral:rRNA from 1 species
GGACUACUGGGGUAUCUAAUCCUGUUUGCUCCCCACGCUUUCGCACCUCAGUGUCAGUGUUGGACCAGGAAGCCGCCUUCGCCACUGAUGUUCCUCCAGAUAUCUACGCAUUUCACCGCUACACCUGGAAUUCCACUUCCCUCUUCCACACUCUAGCAAGGCAGUCUUGAAUGCAAUUCCCAAGUUAAGCCCGGGGAUUUCACACCCAACUUACCAAGCCACCUACGUGCGCUUUACGCCCAGUAAUUCCGAUUAACGCUUGCACCCUCUGUAUUACCGCGGCUGCUGGCAC